AUACGGAGGAUGCAAGCGUUAUCCGGAUUUAUUGGGUUUAAAGGGUGCGUAGGCGGGACUGUAAGUCAGGGGUGAAAUACUGCAGCUUAACUGGAGCAUUGCCUUUGAAACUGCCGGUCUUGAGUACAGUUGAGGUAGGCGGAAUGUGGUGUGUAGAGGUGAAAUGCAUAGAUAUACCACAGAACGCCGAUUGAGGAGGCAGCUUACUAAGCUGUUACUGACGCUGAGGCACGAAAGCGUGGGGAUCAAACAGGAUUAGAUACCCUGGUAGUCCACGCUGUAAACGAUGAUUACUGGUUGUUAGCGAUAUAUAGCUAGUGACUGAGCGAAAGCAUUAAGUAAUCCACCUGGGGAGUACGUCGGCAACGAUGAAACUCAAAUGAAUUGACGGG
rnacentral:rRNA from 1 species